rnacentral:misc_RNA from 1 species
GUGAAUCAUCAAAUCUUUGAACGCAAAUUGUGCCUUUUUCGGAAGGCAUGUCUGUUUGAGGGCACCAUUUAACAAAUAAUGUGCACCGUUUUGUGUGUGCACACGUUGAUGAGCUUUCCAGGAAAAUUUUUUUUUUUUUUUUUUUUUUGGUGGCCCAAAAUAAAAAGGGGGAAAGUUUUUUUUUUAGUUUGGUGGUAGUAAAAUUUUUUCUUGGGUUGUGAAAAGAAAGUAGCGCCCG